UACGUAGGGGGCAAGCGUUGUCCGGAAUCAUUGGGCGUAAAGAGCGUGUAGGCGGCCCGAUAAGUCCGCCGUGAAAGUCCAGGGCUCAACCCUGGAAUGCCGGUGGAAACUGUCGGGCUGGAGUCCGGAAGAGGCGAGUGGAAUUCCUGGUGUAGCGGUGAAAUGCGCAGAUAUCAGGAAGAACACCUAUGGCGAAGGCAGCUCUCUGGGACGGUACUGACGCUGAGACGCGAAAGCGUGGGGAGCGAACAGG
rnacentral:rRNA from 1 species